CCUACGGGUGGCAGCAGUGAGGAAUAUUGGUCAAUGGGAGAGAUCCUGAACCAGCCAAGCCGCGGGAGGGAAGACGGCCCUAUGGGUUGUAAACCUCUUUUGUCGGGGAACAAAACCCGGGACGUGUCCCGGACUGCGUGUAUCCGCAGAAAAAGCAUCGGCUAACUCCGUGCCAGCAGCCGCGGUAAUACGGAGGAUGCGAGCGUUAUCAGGAGGUAUUGGGUUUCAAGGGUGCGUAGGCGGUCCGUUAAGUCAGAGGUAAAAGUGCGGGGCUCAACCCCGUCGAGCCGGUGAAACUGGCAGACUUGAGUUGGCGAGAAGGACGCGGAAUGCGCGGUGUAGCGGUGAAAUGCAUAGAUAGCGCGCAGAACUCCGAUUGCGAAGGCAGCGUACCGGCGCCAGACUGACGCGGAGGCACGAAAGCGUGGGGAUCGAACAGGAUUAGAUACCCGAGUAGUC
rnacentral:rRNA from 1 species